GACGAGCCACACGAACGUUAUUCGGAAUUACUGGGCUUAAAGGGUGCGUAGGCUGCGCGGAAAGUUGGGUGUGAAAUCCCUCGGCUCAACCGUGGAACUGCGCCCAAAACUGCCGUGCUCGAGGAAGAUAGAGGUAAGCGGAACUUACGGUGGAGCGGUGAAAUGCGUUGAUAUCGUAAGGAACACCUGUGGCGAAAGCGGCUUACUGGGUCUUUUCUGACGCUGAUGCACGAAAGCUAGGGGAGCAAACGGG
rnacentral:rRNA from 1 species